AGCGUACACGGUGGAUGCCCUGGCAGUCAGAGGCGAUGAAGGACGUGCUAAUCUGCGAUAAGCGUCGGUGAGGUGAUAUGAACCGUUAUAACCGGCGAUUUCCGAAUGGGGAAACCCAGUGUGUUUCGACACACUAUCAUUAACUGAAUCCAUAGGUUAAUGAGGCGAACCGGGGGAACUGAAACAUCUAAGUACCCCGAGGAAAAGAAAUCAACCGAGAUUCCCCCAGUAGCGGCGAGCGAACGGGGAGCAGCCCAGAGUCUGAAUCAGCUUGUGUGUUAGUGGAACGGUCUGGAAAGUCCGACGGUACAGGGUGAUAGUCCCGUACACCAAAAUGCACAGGCUGUGAACUCGAAGAGUAGGGCGGGACACGUGGUAUCCUGUCUGAAUAUGGGGGGACCAUCCUCCAAGGCUAAAUACUCCUGACUGACCGAUAGUGAACCAGUACCGUGAGGGAAAGGCGAAAAGAACCCCGGCGAGGGGAGUGAAAAAGAACCUGAAACCGUGUACGUACAAGCAGUGGGAGCACCUUCGGGUGUGACUGCGUACCUUUUGUAUAAUGGGUCAGCGACUUAUAUUCUGUAGCAAGGUUAACCGUAUAGGGGAGCCGCAGGGAAACCGAGUCUUAACUGGGCGUUAAGUUGCAGGGUAUAGACCCGAAACCCGGUGAUCUAGCCAUGGGCAGGUUGAAGGUUGGGUAACACUAACUGGAGGACCGAACCGACUAAUGUUGAAAAAUUAGCGGAUGACUUGUGGCUGGGGGUGAAAGGCCAAUCAAACCGGGAGAUAGCUGGUUCUCCCCGAAAGCUAUUUAGGUAGCGCCUCGUGAACUCAUCUUCGGGGGUAGAGCACUGUUUCGGCUAGGGGGUCAUCCCGACUUACCAACCCGAUGCAAACUACGAAUACCGAAGAAUGUUAUCACGGGAGACACACGGCGGGUGCUAACGUCCGUCGUGAAGAGGGAAACAACCCAGACCGCCAGCUAAGGUCCCAAAGUCAUGGUUAAGUGGGAAACGAUGUGGGAAGGCACAGACAGCCAGGAUGUUGGCUUAGAAGCAGCCAUCAUUUAAAGAAAGCGUAAUAGCUCACUGGUCGAGUCGGCCUGCGCGGAAGAUGUAACGGGGCUAAACCAUGCACCGAAGCUGCGGCAGCGACACUAUGUGUUGUUGGGUAGGGGAGCGUUCUGUAAGCCUGUGAAGGUGACCUGUGAGGGUUGCUGGAGGUAUCAGAAGUGCGAAUGCUGACAUAAGUAACGAUAAAGCGGGUGAAAAGCCCGCUCGCCGGAAGACCAAGGGUUCCUGUCCAACGUUAAUCGGGGCAGGGUGAGUCGACCCCUAAGGCGAGGCCGAAAGGCGUAGUCGAUGGGAAACAGGUUAAUAUUCCUGUACUUGGUGUUACUGCGAAGGGGGGACGGAGAAGGCUAUGUUAGCCGGGCGACGGUUGUCCCGGUUUAAGCAUGUAGGCUGGUUGUCCAGGCAAAUCCGGAUAAUCAAGGCUGAGGUGUGAUGACGAGGCACUACGGUGCUGAAGUAACAAAUGCCCUGCUUCCAGGAAAAGCCUCUAAGCAUCAGGUAACAUCAAAUCGUACCCCAAACCGACACAGGUGGUCAGGUAGAGAAUACCAAGGCGCUUGAGAGAACUCGGGUGAAGGAACUAGGCAAAAUGGUGCCGUAACUUCGGGAGAAGGCACGCUGGUGUGUAGGUGAAGCCCCUGCGGGUGGAGCUGAGACCAGUCGAAGAUACCAGCUGGCUGCAACUGUUUAUUAAAAACACAGCACUGUGCAAACACGAAAGUGGACGUAUACGGUGUGACGCCUGCCCGGUGCCGGAAGGUUAAUUGAUGGGGUUAUCCGUAAGGAGAAGCUCUUGAUCGAAGCCCCGGUAAACGGCGGCCGUAACUAUAACGGUCCUAAGGUAGCGAAAUUCCUUGUCGGGUAAGUUCCGACCUGCACGAAUGGCGUAAUGAUGGCCAGGCUGUCUCCACCCGAGACUCAGUGAAAUUGAACUCGCUGUGAAGAUGCAGUGUACCCGCGGCAAGACGGAAAGACCCCGUGAACCUUUACUAUAGCUUGACACUGAACAUUGAGCCUUGAUGUGUAGGAUAGGUGGGAGGCUUUGAAGCGUGGACGCCAGUCUGCGUGGAGCCAACCUUGAAAUACCACCCUUUAAUGUUUGAUGUUCUAACGUUGGCCCCUGACCGGGGUUGCGGACAGUGUCUGGUGGGUAGUUUGACUGGGGCGGUCUCCUCCCAAAGCGUAACGGAGGAGCACGAAGGUUAGCUAAUCCUGGUCGGACAUCAGGAGGUUAGUGCAAUGGCAUAAGCUAGCUUGACUGCGAGCGUGACGGCGCGAGCAGGUGCGAAAGCAGGUCAUAGUGAUCCGGUGGUUCUGAAUGGAAGGGCCAUCGCUCAACGGAUAAAAGGUACUCCGGGGAUAACAGGCUGAUACCGCCCAAGAGUUCAUAUCGACGGCGGUGUUUGGCACCUCGAUGUCGGCUCAUCACAUCCUGGGGCUGAAGUAGGUCCCAAGGGUAUGGCUGUUCGCCAUUUAAAGUGGUACGCGAGCUGGGUUUAGAACGUCGUGAGACAGUUCGGUCCCUAUCUGCCGUGGGCGCUGGAGAAUUGAGGGGGGCUGCUCCUAGUACGAGAGGACCGGAGUGGACGCAUCACUGGUGUUCGGGUUGUCAUGCCAAUGGCACUGCCCGGUAGCUAAAUGCGGAAGAGAUAAGUGCUGAAAGCAUCUAAGCACGAAACUUGCCCCGAGAUGAGUUCU
rnacentral:rRNA from 1 species